rnacentral:misc_RNA from 1 species
UAAUAAGUGUUUUUUAUGGCACUUUUUUAAAUCCAUAUCCACCUUGUGUGCAAUGUCAGUCGAUCUUCUUCAUGGAGAUUGGACCAAAACAUCAACCUUUAUUUUUUUAAACUCUUUGUCUGAAAAAAUAUUAUGAAUAAAACAAUUCAAAAAUAC